rnacentral:rRNA from 1 species
CGAUCUAAUCGCUGGACUGCGGGAGAUACUGUUGGGCUAGGGGGCGGGAGAAGCCGACGGUAUUCUCGGGGUAGGGGUGAAAUCCUAUAAUCCCGGGAGGACCACCAGUGGCGAAGGCGGUCGGAAAGAACGCGCCCGACGGUGAGGGACGAAAGCUGGGGGAGCGAACCGGAUUAGAUACCCGGGUAGUCCCAGCUGUAAACGAUGCGGGCUAGGUGUUGGGGGGGCUACGUGCCUCUCCAGUGCCGCAGGGAAGCUAUUAAGCCCGCCGCCUGGGGAGUACGGCCGCAAGGCUGAAACUUAAAGGAAUUGGCGGGGGAGCACCACAAGGGGUGAAGCUUGCGGUUUAAUUGGAGUCAACGCCGGGAACCUUACCGGGGGCGACAGCAGGAUGAAAGCCAGGUUGAUGACCUUGCUGGACGAGCUGAGAGGAGGUGCAUGGCCGUCGCCAGUUCGUGCCGUGAGGUGUCCUGUUAAGUCAGGUAACGAUCGAGACCCACACCCCCUGUUGCCAGCGGGUCCCGUUGGGAUGCCGGGCACACGGGGGGGACUGCCGCCGAUAAGGUGGAGGAAAGGGGUGGGCCACGGCAGGUCAGUAUGCCCCGAAUCCCCCGGGCCACACGCGAGCUGCAAUGGCGGGGACAAUGGGUUCCGACCUCGAGAGGGGAAGGUAAUCCCUAAACCCUGCCUCAGUUGGGAUCGAGGGCUGUAACCCGCCCUCGUGA